UGAGAAUGCAAUCUUGAGUGGAGGAAGACCUGGUCCACAUCUGAUACAAGGAAUUGGCCCUGGUAUCAUUGCCAGCGUUAUGGAUGUUGAACUGCUGGACGAAAUUGUUCAUGUAUCAAGUGAGGAAGCCAUUGAAACAACUAAGCAGCUUGCCUUGAAAGAAGGUUUGUUGGUCGGAAUAUCUUCCGGUGCUGCAGCCGCUGCUGCAAUAAAAUUGGCAAAG
rnacentral:misc_RNA from 1 species